rnacentral:lncRNA from 1 species
CUCCAUGAGACUCUUUGAUCCUCAUGAUCUUCUCCUUCAUAGCUAGUAAAUUCCUUUCAUGCUGGGCCUUCCACUCUUUCUCCUUCUCCUCGUAAUGGUCCAUCUCAGGAUUAGGAAGUGGUUCAUAGGUUUCAGGGGAUAUAAUAGCCUGAAGGGGAUUUGGAAAGGAGGCUUGAAUUUGUGGAUGAAAGGAAUUUGGUUGGUAAGUGGGAAGGACGUUUUGGAAAUUGGGAAGGCUCU